rnacentral:lncRNA from 1 species
GUGAAGACCACAGUUUCCUGUCGCGUGGAUGUGUUUCCUCUCUGGCCAUUGCCAUCCGCCCAAAUCUACAGACAUCCCGCAUGUUCCCGGGCUCGUCUCCCCAAUACAGGGCACCAAGGCUGUAGACUGCGCAGCCCUCCUGGAGACAGAUGGAAGCUCCUUGGGUCGACAGAUUACAGCUUCUGGAACCCCCUACUCCCUUCAACUCCGAGAUGGACACCCACUGUCCAGGGAGAGGAUGCCUGGAAAUAACAGCUGGGAUCUACAGUGGCCAAAGAGUUGUCUCCGUCUUGCUACAUCGACAAACUGGUGCUCCUGAUGCCAGGAGCGACGGUACACUCCAGAGUGCUGUGCCCUGAUGGGCCUUUGAGUGGCCAGUGCAGUGGAUCAUCAGCCCUGUCUCCCAAGAGCUCCAGUCCCUUCUCCGGAGAGGAAGUGGGUCCACUGGCAGCUCAGGAGGCCAUAGCAGGAUUGUCACGUGUGCUCAACAGUCCUCCUCGGCUUUCCAGAAGAGGCUGGAACAGGGCCCUUGAAGAUGUUUGUGGACAUCAGAGGGCCAAAGACGACACAAAGUGAAACUGGAGACACCGCCCCCCCUUGGCAUCAUGAAACUGCCGAUGUUACUGGCUCAUGCAUGGGAGACACCAGCAUACAAAGUCUUGACACCAACACCUCAGAGGGCUGUGUUCUGUCCCCGUGACCAUCAUCUAGUGCCUGGAAAGACUAGUGACAAGAACUUGUUGCCAACUUCCUAUUACCUCCCUAACAGUUGUGCAAUAAACCCCAUAGGUUAAUUCAGUCUGCCUUUUAAA